AGCUCGUAGGCGGUUUGUCGCGUCUGCUGUGAAAACCCGAGGCUCAACCUCGGGCCUGCAGUGGGUACGGGCAGACUAGAGUGCGGUAGGGGAGAUUGGAAUUCCUGGUGUAGCGGUGGAAUGCGCAGAUAUCAGGAGGAACACCGAUGGCGAAGGCAGAUCUCUGGGCCGUUACUGACGCUGAGGAGCGAAAGGGUGGGGAGCAAACAGGCUUAGAUACCCUGGUAGUCCACCCCGUAAACGUUGGGAACUAGUUGUGGGGGCCUUUCCACGGUCUCCGUGACGCAGCUAACGCAUUAAGUUCCCCGCCUGGGGAGUACGGCCGCAAGGCUAAAACUCAAAGGAAUUGACGGGGACCCGCACAAGCGGCGGAGCAUGCGGAUUAAUUCGAUGCAACGCGAAGAACCUUACCAAGGCUUGACAUACACCGGAAACGUCUGGAAACAGUCGCCCCUUUUUGGUCGGUGUACAGGUGGUGCAUGGUUGUCGUCAGCUCGUGUCGUGAGAUGUUGGGUUAAGUCCCGCAACGAGCGCAACCCUCGUUCUAUGUUGCCAGCACGUUAUGGUGGGAACUCAUGGGAUACUGCCGGGGUCAACUCGGAGGAAGGUGGGGAUGACGUCAAAUCAUCAUGCCCCUUAUGUCUUGGGCUUCACGCAUGCUACAAUGGCCGGUACAAAGGGCUGCAAUACCGUGAGGUGGAGCGAAUCCCAAAAAGCCGGUCCCAGUUCGGAUUGAGGUAUGCAACUCGACCUCAUGAAGUCGGAGUCGC
rnacentral:rRNA from 1 species